UAACUUCUCCGUCUUUGAUUUCUAUUGCGUGUUUAUCCGAUUUAUCUUUGAUCUUUAUUGCAUCUCUGUCCGAUUGGUGUUCAGUUUCACAAACAAAAAUGGGGAUGUUAUGGUUCUAAUCUCAUUAAUUUAAUUAUUUAUUGUUGUUUGCGUGUUUAUAAACAUCGAUUCAUAAAUAGGUUUAUCAUUGCAUCAUAACUAACACAAAAGAAUAGGAUUAUGACUUUUCGUUGCAGUUUCUGAUCCUACAAUUUAUUCAGCUUUUUAUGUUGAUCUCCUCUUAGUAUCUCAGAAGACAUGUUUUAUUACAUUUUGAUCUUUUGACCGUUUCAAUUGAGUUAAGAAUUUCGAGCCAGGCUUUGUAAAUUCAAUCAAAGUCGUCGAAAUUUGUUUAACUUGAUACGAGACACAAUGAUGGAUUGUGGACGUGUAAGAGAGUGUGGUCAUCAGGCCUUGUUUGCAUUCUUCGUAAUAAUGACAAAUGUUGCAGAUGGCGUAUAGUAGUCACGGUCAAAAACAGUAAUAUCAUUAUAUGAAAUUUAUGGUAUGUGGUUUUAAAAGAAAAGGGAUGGAGUCCCUCGGGAUCCUUGUAAUCUGUGAUGACGACAUCAUCCACUCCAUUUGUCAUUGUUACGACUAAGGGGUGGUUAAAGAUAUUAUAACACUCUUCGCAGAUUCGCUAUAUAUCUGUUUUUGUAUCAUUGUUUGAUCUUCUUGUUGUGCGGUCUCAAGUAUUCAUCUCCUAUAUAGUAUCUCAAAAGACAUGUUUCACCCAACUUUAUCUUCUCACCAUUGCAAUCCAGAACCCAAUCGACCUCCAGUUUGGCACGUUUGUACUACUUGAGGCAUGUUUUGCAAAUCGUGUAGGACUAUUAAAUACUGUUUUCAACCAAAAGUACCAUAAUUAAGUUUUUAUAACAAAGUGUAUAAAAAAAGAAAGUGGGUGUGUAAAGGAAUUUGAUCAUGCGUCGAUUGCAAUUUUGGUUGCAAUGGCAAGUGGCAGAGAUGGUGCCAUCGUCACGUAUUUUGAGGAUGCCCACGGAGUCUCCUAGCCUGUUGUUUGUGCAACCACACAGUAUUUCAAUGUAAUGUGGUGCUCUCACUAUGAUUUGCCCAGCAAAGGCACUCAAUUCCUCAUUGGAAAAAAUAGUCCCAGCUCCUGUUGGUUGUGCAUCCAAACACAAUUCAGUUACAAGUUGAAAAAACUGUAGAAGUUUGAAGUUUAAAUUUUGUUAAGAAUCUUAUUAAUUGCAAUGGUUUUAAAAAUUUAUAAUCAGACCAUGCCUAUAACUAACUUUUCCAAUGAGGAAUUAGUGCCUUUGUUGCGCAAAUCAUGGUGAGAGCACCACAUUACAUUGGAAUAGUGUGUAGUUGCACAAACAACCGGCUUAGAGACUGUGUGGGCAUCCUUAGAAUCAGUAAUGAUGGCACUAUCUUUGCUACUUGUUAUUGCAACGAUGCCUGCAAUCGAUGGUCAAGCUCUUUCACACAUCCACUUCCUUUUUAGUAUCUUCUGUUAAAGAAUAAUUGAUUAUUGUACAUCUAGCUGUUAACAGUGUUUAAUUGUCCUGCGAAGUUAGCAAAACAAGCAUUGGGUGUUAGAAAUUUGCCAAUAUGGAGGACCAAGGUUUGGGUUUUUUAUUGCAACGGUGAGAAGAUAAAGUUGGGUGAAAGGUGUUUUCUUAGAUAUUAUAAAGGAGAUGAAUACGAGACCACACAACCAAGUCUCCCAACGUGAUGAGUUCUUAAGUUGUGUCGCAUGCCACAAGGUGUGUCACUUUGAGCUUAGGACAAGGGAUGCAUGCAUGUCCUACCAUGAUGUAGCGACAAAGGAAAAUCAAACUUGCUCUAACACGAUACCUGCCCGGUGGACAUGUGAAAACAUCGAGGAGAGGAGCUUGAGAACACACGGUGGAUGUCGCAGGAAUAGCAAGUGCAAAAGUUACGAGCAUUGCGUGUGUUUUGGAUGUCAAAUGUGUAGAUUUGAGGACUGUGGACGUGCAAGUGUGUGCUGAUAUCUCUGCAAGCACACAUAAUUAACUGCCAUCAUAUUUUACUUGUUCUAGGAUCUUCAUGGAGGCGAACUUCACAGCCUCUGAUCCUCACUAAAGGUAGGGUGUGUCACUAUUAGUGAUACAUGGAAGCAUCAAGGGAGGGGUUAUCCAUGGAAGCAUCAAGGGAGGCGAAAAUUGUGGUCAUACAGUCGUAAUAUCUUCAACGAAUUAGCGACAAGAUUUUCACCACUGAGUUAAAUAAGCUGCUGUUCUUUCUGUCAGUGAUAUUUGUCUUUAGAAAAAAGUUGCACAUUUUCUUGUAAAUGUUCUAAAUAUAAAUAAACACUUAACAAAUAGUAUGAAAACAAUAAAUAAAACUGUAAAUAAAAACCAAAUCCAUAUAAUUAAAGUUUGUAAUAAUACGCACGGUAUGUUGUAUAAUAAUAACUUAAUUAUCUAUCUAAGAAUUAUUGGGAAUGGCCUAGCUGGGAUUGUGAGUGGUCCCAAGUUGAAGAUGCGGCCCUUCUUGCCUCCAAGGUCUCCACAAUUGUUGAUCAUGAGCAGGCUUAGCGUUUGGCUCAGUCUCAACGUAUUAAUUUUCCUAGAGUUGAGAGCAUACAUAUCUGGCUUGGUCUCAACAUACUUGAUUUUGGGUUAAGACUAUUCGUCAGUGAUUACUGCUAUACAGGGUUGUCUAUGGUGUUUUUUUUUGUGUGUGUCCUAGAUCGAUGACUUCUCUGCGACAGUGUUUCCCAUGUCACUACAAGAAUAAUCAGUAUUAGUGGCGACAGUAUUAGCGGCGACUUCAUAUGUGUCGCCGCUAAAGGGUUCGAUCCGGGUCAAGGGUUACUGAGCAUUUAUUGGCCGUUGGAUGAAGAUCUGAUCCAACGAUCAGGGUAAUGUCUGAUAGUUGUCGCCGCUAAAGGGUUUUAAGCGGAUAAAACCCUUCAUCCCUCCCUUUCCCUCCAUUCUAUCCUACUAUACCCCUUCACCAUCGAUCCGCUGGUCUCCGCCAGCCGUAAUGCGGGGCUUUCAGUGUCUGUGAGCCCGUUCCAAGCUGUGCUCCGUCCACCCCACUCAAAUCACCCAAGAUUCCAGCCAACUCCACUCAAUUCCAAGCACCUCCGGUAACGCCCACUGAAAUCCGACCACCUCCGGCGACAUACACGGUCACCUCCACUAAAAUGCAACCACUUCCGGUCAUCUCCGCUGAAAUCCGGUCAACUCUACUGAAAUCCGGCCACCUCUACUGAAAUCCGGUCACCUUCACUGACAUUCGAUCACCUCCGGUUCGUUCUUUUCAAUUUCUCUUUUUAUAUAUUAAUUUUGUGUAGUACAGUAUGUAUAAGCAUGUAUAUUUGUAGGUUUGUUAUUUUUAUUGUGUUGAACUGUAUUUAUACAUAUAUGUUUGUAGUUUAUUUUUUCAAUUUUGUGUUGAAUUGUAUGUAUAUGGGUAGGUUUAUGGAAAUUGGGGUGUCAAAUAGAUGGCUAAUGGAUAUUUCUUGUAGUGAAAUACUUGUAAUCGUACUUUAUUCAGGGUCGGCUCUGUUAGGAAUAAUCUUGAUCGGGUCAUCGGUACGGGUUGGAUAAUUUGAACGAGUCAAAGUAGCUGAUUAUAUUCAGCCGUCAGUUUGUUUUUAAUACAAUUACAAUUUUAUUAAGUUUAGUUAGAGUUAAUGUGAUGGGUAUAUGCAAUAACUUUUGUUUUUUUUAAGAAAAUGGCGAAACAAUCAAUAGAGGGUAUAUGCAAUAACUUAUGGUUUAGGGCAAUACAUGAUAUGGACUUUGGAGUUGGUCAGUCAACAGCUGCACUUUCAUAUAAUUUGUUUAGUUUAUGUUUGAGGUCAAUUCAUGGUGCUUAUAGCGGUUUGCAAUAAUUUAUAGUUUAUGCGAAUCAAGUAUCCUCGUUGUAUGAAAAAAAAUACCCAUUUGUUUGUUGAUCCAGCAUCCACAUAUUAUACAAACUAAUAUCUUUGUUAUUGGGGUCAUGCUAUAUAUUCUUCUGAGGGGAGUUCCGCCUUUCUGGGCAGAAUCUGAGCACGGGAUAUUCAAUGCAAUCUUGAAAGGGCACGUCGAUUUCACGAGUGAUCCGUGGAUUAAAGAAGAUGGAGAAGCACCCGAUACACCACUUGAUAACGCGGUCCUUGGAAGGCUAAAACAGUUUAAAGCUAUGAAUAACUUUAAGAAAGUUGCACUUCGGGUCAUUGCAGGAUGCCUUUCUGAACAGGUCAUUGCUGCUGAUGCAGAUGGAAAUGGAACCAUAGAUUAUGAAGAGUUCAUAACCGCAACAAUGCAUAUGAAUAGAAUGGAUAGAGAAGACCAUUUGUACACUGCAUUCCAAUAUUUUGAUAAAGAUAACAGUGAAUAGUUCGCGUUUGACAUUCAAUAAAAAUAGUGGUUCCUAGUUUUUAACAGCUAGCUUGUUUGUUCUCAGGUAAAUUACUAUAGAAGAACUAUACUGACGCCGCACAAUACGCCGGACCACCUCCUCUGUGCCGCUGCAUCACCUCGCCGAACCACCUCUUACGCCGGACGACCAGGUACAGACACGACAACGGCGACUCUAACAUGGGCUUUAGCUUUACUAGUCAACCACCAUGUGGUCUUAAAAAUAGCCCAACAAGAGCUUGAAAACCAUGAUGGAAGAGAUAGGAAAGUUGAAGAGUCAGACAUGAACAACUUGGUCUAUCUUCAAGCCAUUAUCAAAGAGACAAUGCAUGAUGCGUCUUUAUCGAGCUGCACCACUUUCUGUUCCACAUGAAUCCACAGAAGACUGCAUUGUAGGAGUUUCUGAUCCCACAAUUUAUUCAGUUUUGAUUGAAGAAUAACAAGUUGUUUAUGUUGAUAUCUGUUGAUGCACUUCGUGUGGAUGCGGCUCGGUUCGGUUCAUCACGGCUCAUCGAGUAUCUAGACUUAACAUCCUCUUGUUAAGUAAUGUGAAUGGAAAUUGUGUGUAGACAUUGGAACAGUUGGAUUGGAAUUCACAUCGAAAAAGAAAUGUCUUGGAAUGACAUACACAUCAUUGAAACAGGGAAUGGCAUUUGGGCUGGAUAUCAUGAUCGAAACAGGGAUGUUGGUUUGAGAUGAAGUUAACGAAACACAUAAAAGGAAUUUGAACUGGAUCGGAACACAUGGGACUUUAUGUAAUCGAAAUAGACCUAUUUCGAUAAUGAAGUAAUGUGUGUCUUCAUGUGUGUUUCGAUGAGUGAUAUAAUGACAACUAUAUCUCUAUUUUGAUAUGUAUAGUUUAGUUUCUCCAUGUUUCGAUGUUCCUUUGUUUAUUUCGUUAUGUUUCGUUGUAAAGGUGUUUGUUUCGUUGUAUUGAUCUCUGGUGUAUGACUAUAAAUACCAGAGACCUCCCCUGUUCUAAAAAAGAGAGCACACCCAGAGAGUAUUGAGAGCAUUCUUGUUGCAUUUUGUACUGUUACUCUGCUGGAAUAGAGAUUGAGCUU